rnacentral:rRNA from 1 species
UCCUACGGGAGGCAGCAGUGGGGAAUAUUGGACAAUGGGGGAAACCCUGAUCCAGCGACGCCGCGUGAGUGAAGAAGUAUUUCGGUAUGUAAAGCUCUAUCAGCAGGGAAGAAAAUGACGGUACCUGACUAAGAAGCCCCGGCUAACUACGUGCCAGCAGCCGCG